UGGGUAAGGACUUUUAUGUUGAAAAAUCUACAUGUGGCAGCCAUAUUGGAUUUUUUCAUUAGUGUUGCUAGCUUCACACUGCUGUGGUUUAGUGGUUCACUAAAGCUUCAUUUGCCCAUCACUAGUUUGCUCUGAGUCAAAGUGACUCAAGUGUGUGUGUGUGUGUGUGUGUGUGUGUGUGUGUGUGUGUGAGUAUGUAUAUGAGAGUGCAUGAGUGAGUGAGAGAUACAUGACGCUGAUGAUUUUGCUGUAUGAUUUCAAUAAAGACGUCACUUUGACAUUUAAAAAA